GACGAACGCUGGCGGCGUGCCUAAUACAUGCAAGUCGAACGCACAGUUUAUACCGUAGCUUGCUACACCAUAGACUGUGAGUUGCGAACGGGUGAGUAACGCGUAGGUAACCUGCCUGGUAGCGGGGGAUAACUAUUGGAAACGAUAGCUAAUACCGCAUAAUAUUAAUUAUUGCAUGAUAAUUGAUUGAAAGAUGCAACUGCAUCACUACCAGAUGGACCUGCGUUGUAUUAGCUAGUAGGUGAGGUAACGGCUCACCUAGGCGACGAUACAUAGCCGACCUGAGAGGGUGAUCGGCCACCCUGGGACUGAGACACGGCCCAGACUCCUACGGGAGGCAGCAGUAGGGAAUCUUCGGCAAUGGACGAAAGUCUGACCGAGCAACGCCGCGGGAGUGAAGAAGGUUUUCGGAUCGUAAAGCUCUGUUGUAAGAGAAGAACGGGUGUGAGAGUGGAAAGUUCACACUGUGACGGUAUCUUACCAGAAAGGGACGGCUAACUACGUG
rnacentral:rRNA from 1 species